rnacentral:rRNA from 1 species
UACGAAGGGGGCUAGCGUUGCUCGGAAUCACUGGGCGUAAAGCGCACGUAGGCGGAUUCUUAAGUCGGUGGUGAAAUCCUGGAGCUCAACUCCAGGACUGCCUUCGAUACUGAGAGUCUUGAGUUCGGGAGAGGUGAGUGGAACUGCGAGUGUAGAGGUGAAAUUCGUAGAUAUUCGCAAGAACACCAGUGGCGAAGGCGGCUCACUGGCCCGAUACUGACGCUGAGGUGCGAAAGCGUGGGGAGCAAACAGG